rnacentral:lncRNA from 1 species
AAUGGAUCCAUCCAUCCAUUCUUCAGUGAUGAGAGAGUGAAUCCAAUGUGGCUUUACCAGCCUUACCAGCACUUUCUGAGGAAGUCUGCUGUUUCCAGCCCACCUCCCCUGUCCCCUUCCUUUCCAUACCUCUCUCAAAGCAUAUCGUGUUGGACACGCUUGGCUUGACACAUAAGGAUGUUAUGUUUCCCUUCAGUGACCUCACACUCUUCAAGGCUAUUGACUACGUUUUUCCACAAUGUUCUUGAGCGAGACCACAAAAGAGCCAGUCGGGGGGAAUGCAAGCCGUGACACGCUCCGAGCUUUUCAGGUGCUGUCAGAGAUUUUAUGGCUGUGUGGAGCGAUUCAGCUGGGAGGAAGUAAACACCAGAUAUUGUGAAGCAAAAGAAAAGCACCCCACCCCUUCGAUGGAUCUGAUUCAAAAGAAAGGCCGUGUUUCCAUAAACAGAGCGCUGCACAGACAGGCUGUCUGAGGUCUGAUAAGGAGUCGUGAGAGAGGACACUGAUGGGGAGUGAAAGAGAGGAGGAAGUUUUCCCAUGUUCAGCUAAAACGACAAUGAGCAACCUCCACCCUGUCAUAAAUAAGGCACAUUGAGAUGGCAGAGAGAAAGACACAGCGAUGUAGAGGCAUUUGCAAUGAAUGUAUACCCUGCUGAAAGACCAGCAUGAUUUUUUACAGGUUAUGUGUUGUUUGAGUGCUGGUUGGAUUAGUACACCUGAAAGUGAAAUUUCUACUAUUUACUCUCCCUUAUGUCAUUUCAAAUAUGAUUCUGAUGAAUUAUACUGGUCUGUAAUGGCUGCAUUGGCUGCAAUGAAUUGG